GACGAAGGGGGCUAGCGUUGUUCGGAAUUACUGGGCGUAAAGCGCGUGUAGGCGGUUGCCCAAGUCGGGUGUGAAAGCCUUGAGCUCAACUCAAGAAUUGCACUCGAUACUUGGUGACUAGAGGACCGGAGAGGAUAGUGGAAUUCCCAGUGUAGUGGUGAAAUACGUAGAGAUUGGGAAGAACACCAGUGGCGAAGGCGGCUAUCUGGACGGUUUCUGACGCUAAGGCACGAAGGCCAGGGGAGCAAACGGG
rnacentral:rRNA from 1 species